UAUAUUUGGGCAUCAAACAGUGAAAAUUUCAGCUGUAUCGUCAGUCUGGUGGGAAAAAGCGAAGGCAUCAACUGAGAAAAAAGAUUGCUGUUGAGAAGAAAGCCUUGGAAGUUGCCAUCAAUGACUACAAUGCUACUGUGGGGGAAGUUGAAAAACUCCCUCCUCCCAAUGAACUCCUGGCUGUGGACAACUACUCCUGGCCAUGGGAAUGUCAUGGUGAUAUGGAGC